GGAGAGGUGGCCGAGCUGGCUGAAGGCGCCCGCCUGCUAAGUGGGUGUAGGGCUUAACACUCUACCGAGGGUUCGAAUCCCUCCCUCUCCG
rnacentral:tRNA from 1 species